GGCCCAUUAGCUCAGUGGUUAGAGUGUUGUGCUAAUAACGUAAAGGUCGUAGGUUCUAUCCCCCCAUGGGCAG